AAGUCGUAACAAGGUUUCCGUAGGUGAACCUGCGGAAGGAUCAUUACGCAUAGGGACUGGCAGCCGAGCCCCCACCUAGCGAAAAUUAGGUGGGGUAAGGUGCGCCAGCAACCCCACCGAGAUACGGCCGCCCGGCACCUGCCUUUUGAGCACCAUUUCGUUUCCUCGGCGGGCUUGCCCGCCACUGGGGACCCUCAAAACCUUUUGUAAUGAGAAGUAACAGUAUCAUAAAAAAUUUAUCACAA
rnacentral:misc_RNA from 1 species